UGAAAUUGUUCCCUUAGGUGCAAGUUUACAUCAACUACUUUUUCAAUCAUAUGUGAUAGGAUUUUAGUUAGAGAUGAGGUUGAAGCAAAUUAAAAUAAGUGCAGUUGCUGCUAGUACAAAAUUUAUGUAUUUUUGGUACUUGUUUUCAAGAUAAUGAUCAAGUAUGAAUCUUUAUCUAAAUUCCUCCCAUAUGAGAAAAGUUUUCCUUUUGGGCAGAAUAUAUAUAUAUGAUGGACAAAAAGCUCACACAAGAGGAAAGAAAAUGGUGCUUGGAGCUGGAUUCUGAUGUUGUGAUUGAAUCUCCAAUGGUUGAGAUAUAGGGCAUUUAAAAUUUUGGAAGAAGAAAGUGGUUGGGAUUGAGUUUACAAAGCAUUUUAGAUCCCACCUGGAUCCUAUUGAAGGUCUAGCGGUACAGUAGACUGUUAUCAUCAUUUCAAUCAUUAAAUUGAAUUUGCCAUCCAUCUUUCUACCAUCCAGUUUGCUUAGCUUCAAUCCAUAUUGUCUCAGAUCAAGAACAAAGAAAAUCGGACUUAGAUCGAGGGAAGUCCAAAAUAGUUGAAUAGUCAACUCGUUUCUAUCCGAAAUUCGUACGAGUCAUCGUAGCUAUUGAAGGCUUGGGGAUAGUCAAAGAUUGUCACCACACUACCGAACUCAUUUUGGUACUUUUGAAAGUGUAAAUAUUUUAAGUAUGACAUGUAUAGGCUGGAAUGUCUAUGCAUUUAAGUUUUGAUAUGUAUAUAUGUUAUGCCAUGAGAGUUGGCCAGCAAAUGAUAUUUUUAUGCUUAGUUUUGGUAUAGAUUUGAAUAAGUUAUUGAAUGAUGAUGAUUUAGUUAUAGUAAAGCAUGUUUUAAACAUGGAAUUGGCUGAAAA